AAAACUAAAAGACAAAAAUAAACAUUCGUCACAUUUGGUUGUAUUAUAUAUUUUAUUAUAUGCAUAUAUCUUAUAGUCGAUACUACAUCACAUCAUAAGGUGACCAUACGUUCCGUUUUAAAAGGGCAGUGCCGUUUUCGGCUGUCUGCAGUCUCGUUGUUCCCGAGGGAAUCUUAUGACACUAAAAUGUCCCGUAUUUAUAAGGUAGGCUUUAAAAAUAACAAAAAUCGUAUUUCGUUGAUGAAUAAUUUUUAUUACCUAUUCUUUUUUAUUUCCAAAUUUUACAUUUAGAUGCACUGCAGGACAGCUAAAGAGGGAAUAAUAAAAAAUAAAAAAAAAUGAAUAUUGGAGCGAAUGACAUAUUAUGGUUAUAACUUAUAAUCAUCGCGAUAUUCAGCAUUCAGCGCCAACACAUUCGAAUGUUCUCUCAGAGCGAUUCUUUUUUUGUCUCGUUUUGAAUUCAAACAUAUGGUCACCUUCAGCCCAACUAGACAACGACUUUACUGUUAUAAAUUCUUAUGAAGUUACUUAUAUCGACCGACAUGGCGACAUGUACGUAAUAACUUAUGACUAAUGAGUAUAGCACCUACACAUAAUACAUAUAGUAUGUAUUAAUUAUUAUUUAUUUAAUUCCUAAAAAUGUAUAUAAGAAUAAAUACAAUUUAAAGUUUGUAUAAUAUAUUAUAAUAUAUUAAUAUACAAAUGUAGACUGCUCGUAGCAGUUUGUUGCUUUUAUCGCAGCAUAAUCUUGGAAAAUUGGAAUAUAAUAACUAAAAGAUAUGGUUUCUUUGGUGGUAUAAAAAAAGGACACGGCAUUUUAAGAUUGAUAAAAUAUCGGAUAAAUUCAACGAGCUGUUAAGAUUGGAAAAUUAUAUGAUUAUAUGUCAGAGAGACAAAAUGAUGGUACUCCAUCAGAAGUUAUUUCGAGUAGCUACAUGCAAAACACGGCAAUUUAUAUUAUAUUACACAGAUCAGGUACCAUUUGUCUAUUUAUAUAUAUAUUACAUAUAUGCAAUACUUGCUAAUUCAUUGAUAAUAUAUAUAAUCAGUAGAUAUAUUACAAUAUUAGAUUAUUAUUUAUUACCGGCGAGUCCUUGCCCAGAACCAGCUAUCCCAAACACGCUUUUCUUGCUUAUCGAUUGUUUGCAAAAGCUGACCACGGCCAAAGCAGCCAUUAAAAAACUGACGAAAACGCCAGCGGACAUUAACACCAGGCCGACCUUCCAUACGAACGGGAACAUCGUCGAAUCCGUAGCCAGUCCUUCGACAGCGAACGAACCACAGUGCUGGUUACCGUUGAUUUUUUUACACCGGUAGUAAAUGCCCACGGACGGACGGCAGCGCACUUCGUAGUACGGCGAGUCCACGGUGUUGUUCGCUGUGAAUACAAAAUCCAACGGUUAUCAAUUGCAUUGAAGUAGCCUUUAGGCAGUGAUGCACUAGUGCAGUGUACAAGUGAAUAUUUAUGAAUACACGUAUUGUUGUAUAUUUAUUGUUUGUUAUAUAUAUAUAUAUUUUUUUAGUUUGUAAAAUAUGAUAAAACGUAAUAAAUAAUAAUGUAAAAUGAAUUACACAUGGGCAUAA